CGCUCGUGUUGAGUUUUGUUUGUAUUCAGGCAUCUCGACUGGAAGAUAACGGGGAGACUGCCAGUUAGUAUACACAUUGUGGAGACCUGUGAGUGUACAUAAUGCAGCCCCCUCCUCGAACAACUCCUCCUGGAGCAAGUGGACCUCCACCUCCUUCUGGAGGCCCCAAUUCAUUCAGAAGAAACAGACCCCAUAAACAUGGGGCGGCGUCUGCUAUGACACCGGCUGCCCCUUCCACAAUGCCAGUGACUGAUCCUUUUGCCUUUGGGAGACAAAAUUUUUCAUCUAUGGCAGGGAGCAGCCAAGCUCCACCCACAAACAGCAACCCACUUCCUAUGCAAAGUCCUCCCCUGCCAGGGUUCAACCCAACAGCUCCACCACAAGGGCCACCACCAGGACCCGCACAGGCAGCCUCACCUGGCCCACCACCAAGAAUUUUUACACCACAGCCCGUUCCAUCACGGCCUGGAUCAAGCUCUAUCCCUCCUCCUGCAGAAGCAGGAUACUUCAGUUCCCAAGAACCAAUCCCCUAUAUUGCACAAUUGCCUAACCCUGCUCCUCCUUUAAUUCCUAGUACAUCACAUCCUCCCUCCACUACCCCAACACCUCCAGUUCAGUCCCAGGCUCCUUUUCAUUCCCAGCCAACCCCUCCCUUACCUUCACACUGGGUGCCUGAACA
ensembl:processed_transcript